CUAUUGAGACUCGCGUUUACUAUUUAUAUUUACUCGGUACGUUUGAACAUUGCAUUUCGCAGUCUCAUUGGGUCCAGUAAAUAUGAGCUUCGCAAACAAAACACGUACGUCGAAUAUAGAGACCCCGUUGCUAAACAGCACACACGUUUGCGGCCCUCCGUGUCGGUCAUCUGCGUAUAAAUUGAAAAUAUAAAGAGUACACCAAGGCGGUCAUCAGUAUUUCCACU